rnacentral:rRNA from 1 species
CCUACGGGAGGCAGCAGUGGGGAAUAUUGGACAAUGGGCGCAAGCCUGAUCCAGCCAUACCGCGUGGGUGAAGAAGGCCUUCGGGUUGUAAAGCCCUUUUGUUGGGAAAGAAAUCCAGCUGGUUAAUACCCGGUUGGGAUGACGGUACCCAAAGAAUAAGCACCGGCUAACUUCGUGCCAGCAGCCGCGGUAAUACGAAGGGUGCAAGCGUUACUCGGAAUUACUGGGCGUAAAGCGUGCGUAGGUGGUCGUUUAAGUCUGUUGUGAAAGCCCUGGGCUCAACCUGGGAACUGCAGUGGAAACUGGACGACUAGAGUGUGGUAGAGGGUAGCGGAAUUCCUGGUGUAGCAGUGAAAUGCGUAGAGAUCAGGAGGAACAUCCAUGGCGAAGGCAGCUACCUGGACCAACACUGACACUGAGGCACGAAAGCGUGGGGAGCAAACAGGAUUAGAUACCCUGGUAGUCCACGCCCUAAACGAUGCGAACUGGAUGUUGGGUGCAAUUUGGCACGCAGUAUCGAAGCUAACGCGUUAAGUUCGCCGCCUGGGGAGUACGGUCGCAAGCUGAAACUCAAAGGAAUUGACGGCUGAGACGNGCGACGGACGACGACGAGGGAGGAGG